rnacentral:lncRNA from 1 species
UUGGGGCUUCCAUCCUCAUUAGCGUCGGAGGUGGAAGAGUUUUUUUUGAUGAUAUGGGAGGUUGUAUACUCCGUCGAGGCACUCCCUUGAAUCCGACGAUGGUGUGCGUGCGAUAUGUGAUGGCGGGAUAUUCUCUCCAUCUUACAACCUAAUAAUUCCUAUAACCUGAAAUUUAAUUUUCAAAUUCAUUUUACGUGAUGCAAGUUGAUACGGCUGGAGGAACGUAGCAGAAAUGUUUGGUCAAACACAACAUACUUUGGUAAGAGAACAUGUCUUGGGUGCAUCUAGAUGUACCUACCAUAAAUUCCAUCAUACUUUGUAUUUUUUGAAAUUAAAAAUUAUGAUUUUAGACAACUGGUGAUGAAAUUUAACAACAUUUCUUAGAUCACAUAUCUAAAAGAAAUUCAAUUGGAGUACAUUACAAUUUUCAAUUUCAAGGUUUUCUAAUUUUCUGAAAACUAAAUCUUUGCAAUUUGAACUUUUGAUCUUUUUAACAAUAAAACAUUGACUAACAAAAUUAGCUUUAAGAUCUAAAACUUUUGAAUUAAGGAAAUAUGUAAGGACCAGUUUGAUAUUAUUGAUUUUUUUGUCUUUUUGUUUCUUGGCAAAUUAGUGAAAUAUUAUAUGGAGAUUGAUGUUGAAGAUUGUAUUUGUAUAAAACUUAUAUUAUUCAUAUCUUUUAUUUCACUUUUUUUUGGAAGCAAUAAUUAUGUUCUUUCAAAAAUUUUACAGAUUUUACAAAUAAUUACAAAAAAUAAAAUAUAUGUUUGGUCUAGUUAAUUUUUUUCUUGGAUUCAUGAAAACAAAAUAGAAAACAAGAAACAAUGCCAAACAGUCCUUAAAAUAAUGUUUUGAAUUUUUUUGAGAAAGUUAUAAUGACUUUUUGAAAUUUCAAACAUCUAAACAAAGCCAUAAUAAUUUAGAUCUAUUCCUAAAAGAUAAAUCCAAGAAUCUGCAUUCUUUCUGCAAUGGAUGCAGUCCUUAUAAGCAUUUCACACACACACACACACACACAUCAACACUUACUGCUUGCGGCUAAAAGGUGUAGAGAGGUGUAGAGAGCCUGG